GACGAACGCUGGCGGUGUGCUUAACACAUGCAAGUGGUGCGACGAACCAGGCUUCGGCCUGGGGCAAAGCCGCGAGCGGUGAGUAACACGUGGGUAAUCUGCCCCGAUGACCGGGACAACCCGAGGAAACUCGGGCUAAUACCGGAUGUGGUGCCCAGACAUAAGUCUGGUCACUAAAGGUAGCUUCGGCUUCCGCAUUGGGAGGGGCCCGCGGCCCAUUAGCUUGUUGGUGGGGUCAAGGCCUACCAAGGCAACGAUGGGUAGCUGGUCUGAGAGGACGAUCAGCCACACUGGGACUGAGACACGGCCCAGACUCCUACGGGAGGCAGCAGUGGGAAUCUUGCGCAAUGCGCGAAAGCGUGACGCAGCAACACCGCGUGAGGGAAGACGGCCUUAGGGUUGUAAACCUCUUUCAGAUGGGACAAGGUUGUCCGGUUAAUAGCCAGAUAAUUGACGGUACCGUCAGAAGAAGCUCCGGCUAACUACG
rnacentral:rRNA from 1 species